rnacentral:piRNA from 1 species
UAACAAGCAUUCAAUGAAUCGUUGUCCAAU